rnacentral:lncRNA from 1 species
CUUGGGGGCUGGGUUUAGGGCUGGGCGAGCUGCAGUGAGCAGAGAGGAUGAGGGGAAAGGGCCCCCCGGGAGAGGCCACUAGAUCCUUCUCCGCAGCCCAGCCGCAGCCUUGUCUUCCUGUCUCCUGAUGCUCGCCCCAUCCUGCUCUCCAGCUGCUAGCCGAUUGGAAGAGACGGGGGCAAGGUGGAGCCAUCAUCAGUCAACCAGGCUGGGGGCUGAGCUGAUGAAGUUGGCCUGCCUGAGGAAAGAAUCUCCUGUUUUGAUUCACUCUUUAUCCAUCUAA